GAUGAACGCUGGCGGCGUGCCUAACACAUGCAAGUCGAACGGGGGCAUUCUGGUAGCAAUACUGGGGUGCUCUAGUGGCGAACGGGUGAGUAACGCGUGAGCAACCUACCUUCCAGAGGGGGAUAACACAGGGAAACCUGUGCUAAUACCGCAUAACGUACGAUAGGGGCAUCCUUAUUGUACCAAAGGAGCAAUCCGCUGGGAGAUGGGCUCGCGUCAGAUUAGGUAGUUGGUGGGGUAAAGGCUCACCAAGCCGACGAUCUGUAGCUGGUCUGAGAGGACGACCAGCCACACUGGGACUGAGACACGGCCCAGACUCCUACGGAGGCAGCAGUGGGGAAUUUUGGACAAUGGGCGCAAGCCUGAUCCAGCCAUUCCGCGUGCAGGAUGAAGGCCUCGGUUGUAACUGCUUUGUACGUAACGAAAAGACUACCUUCUAAUAAAGGGGUACCGAUGACGGUACCGUAAGAAGUAAGACACCGGCUAACUAACGUGCCAGCAGACC
rnacentral:rRNA from 1 species